GUGUAUAAGAGACAGGUGAAUCAUCGAAUCUUUGAACGCACAUUGCGCCCAUUAGUAUUCUAGUGGGCAUGCCUGUUCGAGCGUCAUUUCAACCCUUAAGCCUAGCUUAGUGUUGGGAAUCUACUGUAUUGUAGUUCCUAAAAUACAACGGCGGAUCUGUAAUAUCCUCUGAGCGUAGUAAUUUUUUUCUCGCUUUGGUUAGGUGUUGCAGCUCUCAGCCGCUAAACCCCCCAAUUUUAAUGGUUGACCUCGGAUCAGGUAGGAAUACCCGCUGAACUUAAGCAUAUCAAUAAGCGGAGG
rnacentral:misc_RNA from 1 species